rnacentral:rRNA from 1 species
GAUGAACGCUGGCGGCGUGCUUAACACAUGCAAGUCGAACGAAGCAUUUAGAACGGAUUACUUCGGUUUGAAGUUCUUUAUGACUGAGUGGCGGACGGGUGAGUAACGCGUGGGUAACCUGCCUUGUACUGGGGGAUAGCAGCUGGAAACGGCUGGUAAUACCGCAUAAGCGCACGGUGUUGCAUGACAUGGCGUGAAAAACUCCGGUGGUAUACGAUGGACCCGCGUCUGAUUAGCUAGUUGGUGAGAUAACAGCCAACCAAGGCGACGAUCAGUAGCCGACCUGAGAGGGUGACCGUCCACAUUGGGACUGAGACACGGCCCAGACUCCUACGGGGGGCAGCAGUGGGGAAUAUUGCACAAUGGAGGAAACUCUGAUGCAGCGACGCCGCGUGAGUGAAGAAGUAAUUCGUUAUGUAAAGCUCUAUCAGCAGGGAAGAUAGUGACGGUACCUGACUAAGAAGCUCCGGCUAAAUACGUGCCAGCCGCCGCGGUAA